CGGGGCACCGAGCUCGCGCCGGGGGCGGGGCCUGGCACGGCCGCCGCCAACCGCCAGGGCAACGGUUCCCCGGUCGGGUCGGGCGGCACCCGUUGCCGUGCGCGAACAAGAGGGACGGAGGAACUGAUGGCAAGAAGCAGAAAGGUAUAUAAGGCGUGAGGACCAUGAACAAGAGGCUUUUGAGCAGUUCAGCUGAGAUCCAUUCCAGUGAGGACUUGGAGGCUUUCAGUCUGAGGAAACAAGAUCAGCUGAGGAGUUGGUGAGUAGCAGCAAGUCCAAGAAAACCAAUAAAUUUAAGGGAAAGCUGCAUCUUUAGGCUGACUUCCUGCCAAGCCCAAUGCAAUGACCUCACACCUCCCUGGGGAGUGGUCUCCUGAAAGCAUAAUAUCCAAGCUAACCGUGAAAGCUGCCAUCAGCUCUACAGCUUCCUGGCGCAUGAGAAGAGCUGCCUGGAACUCUACAAGUACAGCUGCAAAAUGCUCAUGGGAGCAGAAUCUUUCAACCAACAUCCCACCGUGACCACACUGUGCUGCUCAUUUUGAAAGAGACAAAUGUAGGUGACAAAAGGGCUCACUCCUUGCCCCCAUUCUGGCAACCAAGCAGAAACUGUGAACCUUAAUUUAGUGGCUCUGGACCACACCAUGAAAUAUACCCCCUUUGUCCCAGCAGCAGUGCCCCGUUAACCAAGGUAUCAACUGCAGAACAGAUGUUUAAUGGUUCCAGCAUAGCCAGUGCUUGUGUUCAGCUCAACUAUGGCUCCCUCCCUCCUUCACAUUUCAGACCCUGCAGGCUCCAUGUUCUGCUUCUUCCCCAAGAGUCCAACUGUAUCCAGGUCUGGAUUCUCUUUUCAGACUAUCUAAAGAACUGAAGAGAAAACCUAAAGCCUUUACACAGAUUGGUGACUGGGCUCCAAGCCACCCAAAGAGGGAAGCUACAAAGGGACAGCUCAAGGUCAAUCAUAUCCCAUGGGACCUAUAUCUGUCAUGGCUACUGCCGAGCAAAAGUGGUUCUCACCCCUAGUACUCUAGAAGGACCAAAGUGACCAGUUUACGACAUAAUGAAGGGCCAGCAACACCCACCCUGACACAGCCGGUGAAGAUGUGUCUUGUUCCAUUUGAGGGACAGAAUAGGGAGAAGGGAAAGUAUUUUUUCCUUUUUUCCAAGGUAAAAGAGGUCCU